rnacentral:rRNA from 1 species
GAUUGAACGCUGGCGGCAUGCUUUACACAUGCAAGUCGAACGGUAACAGGGAGCUUGCUCCGCUGACGAGUGGCGAACGGGUGAGUAAUAUAUCGGAACGUACCCAAGAGUGGGGGAUAACGUAGCGAAAGUUACGCUAAUACCGCAUACGAUCUAUGGAUGAAAGUGGGGGAUCGCAAGACCUCAUGCUCCUGGAGCGGCCGAUAUCUGAUUAGCUAGUUGGUAGGGUAAAGGCCUACCAAGGCGACGAUCAGUAGCUGGUCUGAGAGGACGACCAGCCACACUGGAACUGAGACACGGUCCAGACUCCUACGGGAGGCAGCAGUGGGGAAUUUUGGACAAUGGGCGCAAGCCUGAUCCAGCAAUGCCGCGUGAGUGAAGAAGGCCUUCGGGUUGUAAAGCUCUUUUGUCAGGGAAGAAACGGUAGAGGCUAAUAUCCUUUGCUAAUGAC